CAGGGUGCCGGGGCGCAUUGUAGGCACCCCGCAGGGCGCUACCUGGGGUGCCGAGGAGAGCUGAAGACUUCAUUUUCUAGAAGAGUUCUCUUUGCAACACGCUUCCAGGCACCUUGCUGUGUUGUCCACGGAUGGGAGAAGCAAGGACAUGAAAGGACCCUAGAUUUAUCGACUGCCCGACCCCUUGCUGAGCCUUUCUGCUUUAGUAGAGUUGUCCCAUAGCCCUUGUAGUAGUUCAUUCCAAGCCGAUCGUUAAUCUUAAAGGCAUUGGCAACUUCUUUCAAACGAUAUAAGAGUAGAUGAUGGAACUAACAUCGAAAUCUUCAGGAAUCUUCCUGUUUUAUUUUAAAGAUCGAGCAUUCGGUCCGCAUGCAAUUUAUACUAUUCCAUGGUUGCAUUAAUUAUGCCAGAG